ensembl:lincRNA
ACCACCCCCACCACCUGUCCCCAGCUUCAGAGGCCUGGACCUUGGGGACAGUCCUGGGCCACUGGAGGACAGAGUGGCCUGGCUUCACCAGAGGGCAAGGCUGCGGAAGGAGCUGGAGGCCCUGGAUGAUGUGGCACGGUGGCUGGAGAACAAGCCCAGCAUCUCGCCCUUAGAGGCCAAAGUCCUGCGCAUGCUUCAUAAGGAGCGAGAGGUCCAGAUCAUGAGCCAGGCAGAGGUCACCACAGCCACCAAGAAAGGAGUCCUUUGGCGAGAGGUGCCCCAGCUGCGGCUGCCCAAGCCCCCGGCCCUGUCAGCCCUGUAUGCCUACCUGCGUGGCCGCAAGAUCCAGGUGCUGGAGCUGUUUUCCAAGGGCCACGGCACACAGCAGAGAGUCUCCCGAGAGGAGUUCCUCAAUGCGCUGAGGGCGGUGGGAGUCCCCAUGAAGCAUCAGGAGAUAGAGGAUGUGGUGAUCUACCUGAGCUCCCUCGGGAAGCAGCACGAAAUCACCGUAGAGUCACUGGCUAUCACCUACAAGCAGUGGUCUCUAGCCCAGCUGAGAAGAAGCACACCGCCUACCACAUACAAGGGUUCCAUCCAGGCACAGAGCUCAGUGUCUCUGCAGCCAUACAAGAAGGACCUACUCACGGUGCCCGAGGUCCCUGUGCCCUCCGAGGCCCGGCCCCUGACACUGGAGGAAAUGGAAGAUGUAGGCAAGCACUAUCGCGAGCGCAGGCGGCAGCUCAAGCUCCCCAUCCCCUCCAUCCAGUACACGGAGAGCUGCCGCCUGGUGCGCAGUGGGGACUGGCACAUGGACCAGCACUGCCUGCCGUCCACGGUGCCUGGCGAGAGCCAGGAACUGCUGGAUGCAGCGCGCAGGGAUGGCUUCCUGCUCUACUUGCGCUGUGGGAGGCAGUGCGCGGCCUCAGGGCUGCCAGUGACAGAGGAUGUCCUCACCCGAGCACUGCUGUACCCAGGGGACAAGAUCGUCCUGCAGGAUACCCAAGUGCGCCCCAUCCGGCAGCCUGGUGGCUUCUACUCAGACUGGAGGGCCCUGGCCCCACACCUGGCCAAACAACAGAUGCAAGACCCAAAUCUGGGGCCCCAGAAGAGUAACAAGAAGGCACCACUGGACAGCAGGAGGACACCCUCUAAAGAGACCCAGGAGGUUACCAGGAAGCUGAAGGCGAGGAGACAUGGGGGUCUCCAGCGAACCCAUCCCAACGCCUUCUGGCCAGGCCACCUGCUGGAUAAGCUGAGGUUUUGCCUACCCUCAGAGACCACUGACCGGAGCCUGGCACUGUUCAGUUGCAUCCAGCCAUGCCUACCAGGCCACCUACCACCCUGACCGCUGGUGGCCCCUGAGGAAUGAGAACUACAUGACCCAAGCUUACUAUGAUUCCCCCAAAGUGUAUGCCAUCAACUAGACUGGGUGGUGUUACCAUGACAUGGCAGGGAUCCAGCCAGGUCAAAGACACAGUGUUAGGGUGGCUGGACCCCACAACCCUGUCCCAGAGGAGUGUCACUGCCGCACCUCUGGCCUUGGCCUUUGCAAAUAAAACAGCAAGAGCUU